rnacentral:SRP_RNA from 1 species
GCUGGGCAUGGUGGCGCAUGCCUGUAAUCCCAGCCACUUGGGAGGCUGAGGCAGGAGAAUCACUUGAACCAGGGAGUUGGAGGCUGCACUGAGCCUGGAUCACACCACUGCACUCCAGCCUGGUGACAGAGAGAGACUCUGUCUCAA